CAGACAUAGUUUAAUUUUAGAAUAUUUGUUUUAGGAGCAAAAGGCACUUAUGAAAGUUGUUUGU
rnacentral:tRNA from 1 species